GCCUUCGUGGUGUAGUGGUCAGCACAUUCGACGCGCAUUCGAGUGGUCCGUGGUUCGAAACCCGCCGAGGGCA
rnacentral:tRNA from 1 species